CAUUUAAAUGCAUAAGUUCCCAAAUCAAACUGUUUCUAUCUAACAGCCUUAUGUGAAGCUCAUCUACAACCCAACUGCAACGCAAAGAAUCUCAUUUGAAUAUGGCAUUACACAGCUUCUCCCUGCAUUCAUGAAGGCGGAGUCUGAAAGUGAUCAUGGGACAAACUAGGACAGAACC